rnacentral:tRNA from 5 species
GUCUCGAUGGUGUAGUUGGUUAUCACGGUCGCCUCACACGCGACAGGUCUCCAGUUCGAACCUGGAUCGAGACA